rnacentral:rRNA from 1 species
GAAGGUCCGGGCGUUAUCCGGAUUUAUUGGGUUUAAAGGGAGCGCAGGCUGUAUUGUAAGCGUGCCGUGAAAAGCGCCGGCUCAACCGGCGUCGUGCGGCGCGAACUGCAGUACUUGAGUUCACGGAAGGUAGGCGGAAUUCGUGGUGUAGCGGUGAAAUGCUUAGAUAUCACGAAGAACUCCGAUUGCGAAGGCAGCCUGCCGCAGUGUUACUGACGCUGAGGCUCGAAAGUGCGGGUAUCGAA